rnacentral:rRNA from 1 species
CGCAAUGGGCGCAAGCCUGACGGAGCGACGCCGCGUGAUUGAUGAAGUCCCUCUGGGACGUAAAGAUCUUUUAUGAGCUACUAAGUUUAUUGAAGAGCUCAUGAAUAAGGGGUUGCUAAACUCGUGCCAGCAGCAGCGGUAAUACGAGUGCCCCAAGCGUUAUCCGGAAUUACUGGGCGUAAAGGGUGUGUAGGUGGUUGUAUUAGUCUUUUGUUAAAUUCUUCGGCUUAACCGGGGGCAUGCAGAAGAAACGGUACAACUAGAGGAUAUGAGGGGUGAAUGGAACUCAUGGAGUAGGGGUGAAAUCCGUUGAUAUCAUGGGGAACACCAAAAGCGAAGGCAGUUCACUGGCGUAUUCCUGACACGGAAACACGAAAGCGU